AGUGUUAGAAAAAAGCAGUACUACUCGACGGCCAGUAACUCCUAUCACAUCUGAUGAUGAUGAUGCUGCAGAAGCAGGUCCAUCAAAAGAAGUAUGGAGCAGCAGAAGUGGGACUUCUGUAAGACAUCACAACAAAAAACCUGUGGCCGAAAAGAAAGCAAGGUCGUAUGUCCCGGGCCAACCACAGCAGGCUACCCCACCAUGAAGAUUAUCGUCCGUAUGUUCUGUCCCCCCACUCCAAAUUUUGGACACACCUCCAAGACGUCAUCCACACUCCCCUCAUCUUGAUUCUUCUAGUCCUGGGAACAGCAUCCCUCCGCAACAACAGCAACACAGUGACAUGGAGGAGACAAACAUCUUAGAAAUGCAGCCAUUAAUGCAAGGAAUGAGCCCCCCAGCACCUGUGAGUAUGCCACCACAGCAAAGCACACCACCACCACAACACAGCCCAACAACACCAGAAACACAAGGCCCUGAUCAGGUGUUGGUCCAUUUGGGCUAGACAGCAGGCCACUAAUGAAGAUUGCCUGCGUAAGCAGACACAAAUGUUUGCAAGCCUACCAUCUCACCUCAGAAGAAUAUCAAGAAAUCUGAGUAGACAAAAUGAACAAACAACCAGAAUAGGCAAUACCAUGGAACUCAUGCGUACAGACAUUACACAGGUCAUGGACAACUUUCAGCACAUAAUGGAAGAACAGCACAGACAACAGCAAAGUUAUAUGAGCAUUUUUCAAAACAAUCAAAAGAUUAAUGAAAGUUUAUUCCGAAUAGUAAACAAUCAAAAUGCUGCUACACGUGAACUCAAUGCCACCCUCACUAACCUGAAUGAAACACUCAGAUGCAUGCACCAACAGCAAACAAGCAGCAGUUCUGGUACGACUACUCCAAAUAUCACGCCAGUGUCAUCACCACCAAGACGCUCCACCAGAGCACAACAAUAUGACAGUGCUAAAGGUAAAGGGCAGGACACGCAGCCACAAAAAAAACGUGAAAAAAAUUCAAGUUAGACAUUUGUGAUAAGUAACUCAAAAUAGUUAGUAAGUGUAUUUUUGGAUAAAAAUAUAUAACACUUAGCUCCUUGACACUUUUUUCAACAUCAUCAAUUAUAAGUGGUACAAACAAAAAGAUAAAAUUUGUACGCACAUUUAUUCUUUACCAUUUUUUUUGGUAUUGGAGGAGGGAAAUGUUGAUGGAGCCACACAUACAUGUUAGCAGGAAGUAAACUGACCACUUGAUUUUUUUUUCUAAUCAUUACUCUUUCUAGAUUCCAAUCAUUCUCUUUCCCUGCAGACACAAUAGUUGCCAGCCAGGCAGAAUGUCUUUAGCAGGAAGUAAACUGACCACUUGAUUUUUUUCUAAUCAUUACUCUUUCUAGAUUCCAAUCAUUCUCAAUCCCUGCAGACAAUCCAAAUUACAAUGUUAUUGAUACAUAUUUUAGCUUUAUUCUCUAUACAACAUUACAAGAAGAACACAAUUGAGUUGCGUAAAAAGCUUGUAAUAUGUUGGCUUUGUUUUGUUUUAAAAACAUUGACAAAAUGAAUGUCAGUAUUGAUGGGACAUGUUUGUGUGUGUUAAAAAUUAGUAAGAAUGUUUUUACAC